GGGUCACGUACAUAUACAAAUCGGACAUGGUUUACUUUUGUUUGGGCCUAGGUUGGCGGUGGAUCGGUUUGAUCAGUUACGUGUUGGGCAUGGGUUCAGAAAACGGGUUGGUUAGGCUUAGGUUAGAGAUAAAGUCCAUCAGGGGGAAACUAUUAGAUCAAGUUGAAGAACAAGGAUGCCUCUGGAGUGUAUAAAAUAUCCCUAAACUCGACUUCUUUUCCCGAGA
rnacentral:lncRNA from 1 species